rnacentral:rRNA from 1 species
UACGGAGGGUGCAAGCGUUAUCCGGAUUUACUGGGUUUAAAGGGUGUGUAGGCGGACUAUUAAGUCAGGGGUGAAAUCCCGAGGCUCAACCUCGGAACUGCCUUUGAUACUAUUAGUCUUGAAUGUUGUUGAGGUGGGCGGAACGGGUCAUGUAGCGGUGAAAUGCAUAGAUAUGUGGAGGAAUACCGGUGGCGAAGGCGGCCUCCUGGCUUAAUACUGACGCUGAGGUGCGAAAGCGUGGGGAGCAAACAGG